UUUAGUGGAAAUUAUAAAAAACUUGCUUAUUUUUCUCUUAAUUUAUUUCUCUCAUCUUAGAACUAAUGAGCUGAAAUUAGACAUUGAUGUUCCUGACGACGUUACUAUGAAAUUCAAGCAAUUCUGGUUAGACUUUAGAGACACCCCAUUGAAAGGGAGAAAUGCUAUUCUACGAGGAAUUUGCCCACAAGUUUUUGGACUCUUCAUUGUGAAACUUGCAGUUGCACUCACACUGAUUGGAGGUGUUCAACAUGUUGAUGCUUCUGGGA